GCUCUGACUUCAUUGCACUACUGUAUUGGACAGCUAGCAGUGCAAUAGUAUUGUCAAAGCGU
rnacentral:pre_miRNA from 1 species